rnacentral:rRNA from 1 species
UUGAACGCUGGCGGCAUGCUUUACACAUGCAAGUCGAGCGGCAGCGCGGGGCAACCUGGCGGCGAGCGGCGAACGGGUGAGUAACACAUCGGAACGUAUCUUCAAGUGGGGGAUAACCUAUCGAAAGGUAGGCUAAUACCGCAUAAGCAAGGGAUUGGAAAGCGGGGGAUUCGCGAGGACCUCGCGCUUUUGGAGCGGCCGAUGUCGGAUUAGGUAGUUGGUGGGGUAAAGGCUCACCAAGCCUGCGAUCCGUAGCGGGUCUGAGAGGAUGAUCCGCCACACUGGGACUGAGACACGGCCCAGACUCCUACGGGAGGCAGCAGUGGGGAAUUUUGGACAAUGGGGGCAACCCUGAUCCAGCCAUGCCGCGUGAGUGAAGAAGGCCUUCGGGUUGUAAAGACUCUUUCGGCGGGAACGAAAUACGCACUCACUAACACUGGGUGUGGA